rnacentral:hammerhead_ribozyme from 1 species
CCACUGCUGAAGAGUCCCAAACUAGGACGAAACAGCUGUCCAGUAC